GUGUGGGAGAGGAAGAUGGAAUUAGUUGUGUAGGGGUAAAAUCCGUAGAGAUAACUAGGAAUACCAAAAGCGAAGGCAAUCUUCUGGAACACUACUGACGCUGAGGCGCGAAGGCGUGGGGAGCAAACAGGAUUAGAUACCCUGGUAGUCCGCGCAGUAAACGAUGAAUGUUAGUCGUCGGGUAGCUAGUCUAUUCGGUGAUGCAGCUAACGCAUUAAACAUUCCGCCUGGGGAGUACGGUCGCAAGAUUAAAACUCAAAGGAAUAGACGGGGACCCGCACAAGUGGUGGAGCAUGUGGUUUAAUUCGAAGAUACGCGAAGAACCUUACCUAGCCUUGACAUAUAUUAGAACAGACCAGAGAUGGACUGGUGCCUUCGGGAGCUUUUAUACAGGUGCUGCACGGCUGUCGUCAGCUCGUGUCGUGAGAUGUUGGGUUAAGUCCUGCAACGAGCGCAACCCUCGUGUUUAGUUACUAACAGAUUAUGCUGAGGACUCUAGACAUACUGCCUGGGCAACCAGGAGGAAGGUGAGGACGACGUCAAGUCAUCAUGGCCCUUACGGCCAGGGCUACACACGUGCUACAAUGGGGUAUACAAAGAGCAGCGAUACCGCGAGGUGGAGCAAAUCUCAUAAAAUAUCUCCCAGUUCGGAUUACACUCUGCAACUCGAGUGUAUGAAGUUGGAAUCGCUAGUAAUCG
rnacentral:rRNA from 1 species